rnacentral:lncRNA from 1 species
UGUGUGUGUUAAUAUAUUCAGCUAGUUUCUAUUUUCUUUGUUUAAAUAAAUAAUAAUAACGUGUGAGUGGAUAAAAAAACAAUGGCUGCUGGAGCAGAUGAUUUUCCAGAAAAGCAAUUUGGCAACUUCAUCAUGGCCGAAAAUCUCUUAAUUGAAAGUGUAGAAAUCUGACACAUGAUAUGUUAUUUGGGCGCCUAUUUUUAUAAUCGCUUCUCUCCUCGUGCGCUGGAAUCAAGAAAAACAACUUGAAAUAUGCCCUGAAACCCUUUUUUUUUCUUUCUUCCCUUUUAUAAUACUUGAUGAUGAUGUAAAACUUAUUGCGAGCAACCGCGUGGUCUCUGGUCUAUAAUUUAUCUCGUUUUCGAUCACGUGAGAAUCUCAUCAUCAUCAUCAUCGAGAGCUGCAAGCAUCACAGAUCACAGCAGCAUCAGCUUCACGAAUUCGAGAGAGGGUUGGGCCCACGUCUGCCCAUUCAUCAUGCCAUGCCACGAAGGAAAGCAUCACUGAGCUGCAGAGUCUCCACACAGCAGGGGGAAAAGACAAAAGCGUUGAGCCUGAUUUAUCCCUGUGGAUACACUUGCACCGUGUAAUUACUGCACAGUCAGUGCUGCUGCUGCUGCUGAAGCGAGCCAACCCCCCCAUACCUCAAGGCUCUGCGAUGGCAUGGGAGGUGGCUGAAUUGUCUCCACACACACUCCGUUAUGAAGAGACACCCCCCUAGCUGUCAAAAGAAACACUCCCUCUUGGCAUUCAGCUCGCAACAACAACAACAACAACAAUUGACCUUCCUUCCUUGUACUCUUUUUUGUACAGUCCAUCCUCCCUUUCAGAAAAAAAGUAGCAGCUCAGCAGCAGCAGCCAGUCAUGUGUGUGUGUGUUUUAUCGUGUGUAGGUUUUCCACACACACAAUGAUUUAACACUUGGCGAAAAACAAAGAAAUAAAGGAAUGAACAUUUUCUCUCACCUGAUCGAUCCCUAACCUCCAGGUAGCCGUGCUUGGGUCCGUCGACGAUGACGACGACCAGGUUGUCGGGUUUUGUAUCGCUGUCGUUGACGCUCAGGAUGUCCGGCGACAGGAUUUCGGUGGCCCCUUCUUCGACCGUCACUUCUCCGUGGACGACGACCUCCGGCAGCUGAUUGUCGCGGGGCUCGAUGGCGAUCAUGAGGGCCUCGGGUCGAAGUGGAACCCUGGGCAGCGGAGCCAGUCCGUUGGCUCCGUUUUCGUCUCUGGCCCGUUUGAUGGUGUCCUCGGUCCGUCUGAGAACUUUGCCGCUGGAAUCCAACACCCGGCCGUUCAACAGGACGUUGCGACCUCUGCCAUUUUUCUCUUCGCUGUCGUCGCUCUUGGCUGCCGAAACGUUCCAGUAUAAUCGAUCCUCGGCCGGCAACCAGCCCACUUCCUUAUCUGCUCUGAAGCUCGAGUGAUGACGUCGCCGAUCUGCAGGACUUUGCCGGAUAACAGGACGGACCCCAUGGUAGUUGGACGGGCUAGAAUGUACUCGACUGUUUCCUUGUCGACGGCCGUAUCGAGGACGACAAAAAAAAUCUAAUCAAAAAUAAACCUUCGACGACCGAUGGUAUCGACAUGAGUGGACCGUCUUGCUGGACCUCCUGCUGACUACACUUUGGCCGGCCUUUAACUACACACACACACAACAACAAAAAAGGUUUUUUGUUCCAGGAGCGAGUUGGCUUUUGGAACGACGUUGGCUUCCGUGAUUUUGUUCUACUGCCCGGCUAUUAAGUCUGGCGGUGACGUCACAGCCGGAAGUCGGGAGGAAUGAAAGAUAAAAAGAAAAAGGUGCUGAGAGACCAGGAAGUUGGACGGAAGGAAAAUGUGGGCACGAAAUGAAAUCAACAAGUUAACGAGCCGACAAAGCGACGUGACGCAUCCUUGUCCUUGUGCCGAGUUGAAUAUUAAACCAGAAAAAACCCUUUUGAUGGUGGUGCUGGGGCCCCUUAAUGGCACACACUACUAGUCUAGUAGUCAUCUGGUGUAGUUGUGUAGUAAGUAGUAGUAGUAUAUUUCCAGCAUCCUUAAUUUUUUAAUGACCAACAGUUUCAACUGUAGCCGGCCCAGCCUAUAUACGACGUGUUACACAGUUCCACUGCUUCUGCUGGCCUGGCCUGGCCCGAAUGAAAACGGUUUUUUUUUUUUUUUUUGGCUCUGGACGUCGUGACCUUCUUGGCAAAUCCCGCCGGUUGUUGUUGUUGUUGGGCCUUAUAGCACACACACACAGAAAAAAAAGAGGCGAAACUUUUCAUUGACCCAUUCAUCACCACGACCGAAAAGGGGCUGGGCGAAUAUAUAUUAAGAGAGAAACACUAGAUGUGUGCGCUGUUGUUCUUUUUUUCCUUCUUCUUCUUCUUUCACUCGCCGGGAAAAAAAAGUUACACAACAUUUCACGGGAAAUUGGUUUUUCGUGUUUUUCGGUUUUUUCUGGGGGGAAGUGUCGGUUCGGUGGAAGGGUUGGUGGUGGUGGUGUUAAUGUCGGGAGUCUUACUCUUUCUUUCUCUUGGUUCUUCCAUUAGCGGUCAAAUGUCUCUAGUCAGAAAAAUAUUCAAAUGUACAUAAUCCCCGGGCUGUUAUUUUUCCAAGAGGAGGAGGAGGAUCUAACAGCUUCAUCUGUCGCCGCCUGUUAUUCUCUUUCGGGAAUCUUGUCGCCUCGUCUCUCUCUCUCUCUCUUUCCUUACUGGCUAAAAUUAGACAUUUUUUAGGUGGGGAGGAGGGGGGGGGAAAUCAAAUGAGCAACUCACGAGACACACCGCUGCUUAUAUAGUUUAGCUAGAGCGGGAAUUUCAAAAAGAAAGAAAAAAACCUUUUUGUUUUAUUUUUUACUUUCGGGAUUCCAAUUCCGCAGCCGCACGUCCGUUUCGAUACAUCAAAUUGGUGAAUGGGGAGGUGAGGGGGGAGAUGUUGUAUAGCUAAAGAAAGCUCUCUAUCUCUAUUUCUCUCCUUUUUGGCCAACCUCCCACCUCCCCCUAAAAAUAAGUGGAGGUGCGGCCGAACCCGCCGCUUAUUUUUUUCUUUCUUUCUACCAACCGAAAAGGAAAAUACUUACACGACGUUCACGGCCUCCUCACUUUCUUAUAUGUCUGCCCGUUGUGCAUUACGUGACUGAUUUUUUUUAAAAUUUUUUAAAAUUUUCAAAUAACCCCUACGAUUUUGAUUUGAACAAUUAGCGAUUGAGAUAAAUGGUGAUUGAUUUUUACCUGCUGUGCAAUGUGCGACGAUAAUCAACAGGAAGGAGAAGACGACAACGAAACGAGACACGACCACUGUACAACGCAUUUUGCGCUAAUUAUUUCGUUUGUCUUUUUGUGAUGAAUUUGAUUCAAUUGUUUUUUUGCGGGAAAUUUGAAAUGGGCGAAAAAUGAGACACUGGUCACACUCAUCCGCCACUUUUCUUUCUUUCUUUUUUGGGUUUUACAGAAUCACCUCUGCUGUAGUAGUAGUAGUAGUAGUAGCGGCAGAAGAAGACGAAUUGGAUGUUGAUGAUGAUGAAGGAGAAGUCGUGGAGUCAAGGUAACGAGCGGCCAUUCUGACCGACAACAAACAACAGACUGACUGGGCCCCAAAAGAAGAAGAAGAAGAAGAACCCGCGCGGUGUAUAGUUUAGCAGCAGCGACGCUCUGGUGCGCCGUCGUGAAGGAACUUUGGCCGAUUUAAAACUGCCGCUGUGGGCCGGGCCCCCACCACCACCACGGCCGCCGUCAGCAAUCAAAUUUUGUCUUAACGCUCAGCGCACGAUCGUCGGCUUGUACAACAAGGAAAAGAAAUGAAGCCAACACGGAUGAAGAAGGAAAGAAGAAAACGAGAUGACAAACGGUUAAAACACUCGAAUCGUACCGGGGUCGUGGGAAUAGAACAAAAGAAAAGACGGCCGGCCGUGCUGGGUGGGCAAGACCAUCCCUAGUUUUUCGUCUUUCUUCAAUGGAGAGAGAGAGAGGCUCAAACGGCCUCUAAAAAUACGACGGUAGCUUCUCCCUUUCUUUUGGCCAUCCAGGUGGAUAUUUUUUUCAAUGCCGAUUUUUAAAUUUUUACUUUUUUUUUUUUUUUUUACUUUUGCAAAGUUGGAUGACAUCUCCGAGUGUUUGGACAAUGGAUCGACCAGUUGGGGGUGUCGAAUAAUAAACCGGUCCAUCCCCACCUGGAAAAAAAGAACCUGGGCCUGGGAUGGAUGGAUGGAGACCUUGUCCCAAGUUGAAAUGGUCCACGGCUCAUUUUUUGACGUUGAUGAUCAAUUCCCAAAACGUGAUGAUGGGCUCCCGCGGGAGAGGUGCGGCCGUGACCCGGGCGUUCCAAGGCGAUGCGGCGGAAACCUGUCGGACAGUAGGAGCGGGAUAGGCCACCACUUCACCACCGGGUCCAUCUUCCCCAAAGGAGAAGGAAGGAUCGGAUAUCCAUCAAAUGUCCACGGCUGUGGCCCAUCUCCAUUCUUGACCCGUUUUUCUGGUAGCGCGCCAAUCGGUGCGCACACACACAGACAUUUUCGCGUGAAUAAUUGGUCUCUGGUAUGUAUCCUUAACUGCGCAGCCUGACGGGGGCUGUAUACGGGAUACCUGCCGUGUGCCAGCCAGUCAGAGCCACAGCCAGGGCCAUAUGGUAGCGGAAUUCAAAGUUCGCGGGCGUUGUCUGCAUUUGAUGAUGAUGACGUGAUUUUUUGGUUUUUAUUUUACUUUUAACUUUUUCAGGGUUCCAGUCGAAUUCCAGCCGCUUCUUUUUCUUUUCGUUUUGGGAAUCGUCGACACGCUCCGACACGUGGACAAAUUGACGACCGAGACUCGUCGCAUUUGGCAUUUUGUUUAGGAAAAUUCGCCCCCCGUGAUUGACUCUAAUCCGCCGAGACCGGAACCAAAAACCAAAGAGAAUGUCUCCUUUGUAAAUGUUGAUGACGCGAGCGAUGAUUAGUGACGUCAGCGUCGGUGUGUUAGGUGCCGUUUCCCCCCACCAAAAGAUGAAAGGUUCUCCGUGAGAGCUCUCGCCCUUGGAUGAUUCAUUUCCGACGAUAAAACAAGCCCUAAUCCAAAUUUAUCGACACUGUGCUGUGCGCACACACGUGGCUGUUUUUUUUUUAUUUUGGCCAGUUCAUGGGAAAGGACCGGGUCGUAAAAAAUGAUCGUCGCCCCGAAUAAGGCCAUCGAAAUACGACGU